GAACGCACCUUGCACUCCUUGGUAUUCCGAGGAGCAUGCCUGUUUGAGUGUCAUUAAUAUAUCAACCUCUUUAAAUUUUGAGAGUGUUUGGAUGUGGGGGUGUUAUUUUGCUGGCCUUCUUCCAAAGGUCAGCUCCCCUGAAAUGUAUUAGCGGAACAAUUUGUUGACCGUUCAUUGGUGUGAUAGCAUAUCUACGCUAUUGACGUGAAGCAAGUUCAGCUUAUAACAGUCCAUUGACUUGGACAAUUCUCUAUUUAUUAAUGUGACCUCAAAUCAGGUAGGACUACCCGCUGAACUUAAG
rnacentral:misc_RNA from 1 species